UCCCUGGCAGUCUAGAGGUUAAGAUUCUGUGCUUCCACUGCAGGGACCACAGGUUCAAUCCCUGGUCAGGGAA
rnacentral:tRNA from 1 species